rnacentral:rRNA from 1 species
GUAUACCGUAAAAGUGAAGAAAUUUUAUUUUUAAUUUGGGAAUUUUAGGUGAAAAAAUAAAUUUCUUUAAAAGGUAAAAUUUUAAAGAGGUAAUUUUUUCUUUUAUUAGAAAUUUUGAAAACUUAGAAGUAAAACUAGGAUUAGAUACCCUAUUAUUAUUAAGCAAAAAGAAAUUAGGUAGUAGUAGAAGACUUGAAACUUAAAGAAUUUGGCGGUGUUUUAAUCUAACCAGAGGAACUUGCAUUUUAACUCGAAAUUACACGUUUUAUCUCACUUAAAUUUAUGUUUGUAUAUCGUCGUAAAAAUAAAACUUUAAAGUGUAUAUUUAGAUUUAUUAAAUUAAAAAUUACAGAUCAAGGUUCAGCGUUAUUUAAGAAAAUGUGAGUUACAAAUACUUUUAAAGUAAACGGACAUUUUUCUGAAAAGGAAUUUUAAAGGCGGAUUUGAAAGUAAAUUAAAAUAAC